rnacentral:snRNA from 1 species
AGCUUUGCGCAGUGGCAGUAUCGUAGCCAAUGAGGUUUAUCCGAGGCGCGAUUAUUGCUAAUUGAAAAAGUGCUUUAUAGCUCUGUUGACUAAAAGGGCUUAGAAAUAAUAGUAGUAGUAAACAUACC